rnacentral:lncRNA from 1 species
GCUAAAUACCUUAUUUUAUGGUGUUUUCACCUAGAAGCUGAGCAGAAAGGCGCUCUAAUGGAACAGAUAGCACAUCAAGCUGUUGUGAUGCAGUUUAUUAUGGAAAUGGCCAAAAACUGUAAUGUGGAUCCAAGAGGCUGUUUUCGUUUGUUUUUCCAGAAAGCCAAAGCAGAGGAAGAAGGUUAUUUUGAAGCAUUCAAAAAUGAGCUUGAAGCUUUCAAGGCAAGAGUAAGACUUUACGCUCAGUCACAAAGCUUUGCACCUGUGACAGUUGAGAAUCAUGCUCCCCAUUCUGGUGUCGGGUGCAUAGGCUCCGCAGAACCCCUACCACAGGCUCCAAGAUUUUAAGACCAGCUUUAGCCAGUUUAUUCUCUUGUCUACAUUGGGACAUGGAAAGUAUCAUUCAGAAGACAAUAUGAGGAGAGUCCUGUAUUUAUCUUUAAGCCUCAUAAAAUGGU